UACGUAGGGUGCAAGCGUUAAUCGGAAUUACUGGGCGUAAAGCGUGCGCAGGCGGCUAUGCAAGACAGAUGUGAAAUCCCCGGGCUCAACCUGGGAACUGCAUUUGUGACUGCAUGGCUAGAGUACGGUAGAGGGGGAUGGAAUUCCGCGUGUAGCAGUGAAAUGCGUAGACAUGCGGAGGAACACCGAUGGCGAAGGCAAUCCCCUGGACCUGUACUGACGCUCAUGCACGAAAGCGUGGGGAGCAAACAGG
rnacentral:rRNA from 1 species